rnacentral:rRNA from 1 species
UACAGAGGGGGCAAGCGUUGUUCGGAGUUACUGGGCGUAAAGGGCGCGUAGGCGGCCUGCUAAGUCGAACGUGAAAUCCCCGGGCUCAACCCGGGAACUGCGUCCGAGACUGGCGGGCUCGAAUUCGGGAGAGGGAUGCGGAAUUCCAGGUGUAGCGGUGAAAUGCGUAGAUAUCUGGAGGAACACCGGUGGCGAAGGCGGCAUCCUGGACCGAUAUUGACGCUGAUGCGCGAAAGCCAGGGGAGCAAACGGG